rnacentral:rRNA from 1 species
UACGAAGGGUGCAAGCGUUACUCGGAAUUACUGGGCGUAAAGCGUGCGUAGGUGGUUCGUUAAGUCUGAUGUGAAAGCCCUGGGCUCAACCUGGGAAUGGCAUUGGAAACUGGCGACCUAGAGUGCGGUAGAGGGUAGUGGAAUUCCCGGUGUAGCAGUGAAAUGCGUAGAGAUCGGGAGGAACAUCUGUGGCGAAGGCGACUGCCUGGACCAGCACUGACACUGAGGCACGAAAGCGUGGGGAUCAAACAGG